CCGGAGGAAGGUGGGGAUGACGUCAAGUCCUCAUGGCCUUUAUGCCCAGGGCUACACACGUGCUACCAAUGGGUGGUACAAAGAGCAGCCAGCUCGCGAGAGUGAGCAAAUCUCAAAAAGCCAUCCUCAGUUCGGAUUGAAGUCUGCAACUCGACUUCAUGAAGUUGGAAUCGCUAGUAAUCGCGGAUCAGCAUGCCCGCGGUCGAAUACGUUCCCGGGCCUU
rnacentral:rRNA from 1 species